UGGCCGGUACAAAGGGCUGCGAUGCCGCAAGGUUAAGCGAAUCCUUUUAAAGCCGGUCUCAGUUCGGAUUGGGGUCUGCAACUCGACCCCAUGAAGUCGGAGUCGCUAGUAAUCGCAGAUCAGCAACGCUGCGGUGAAUACGUUCCCGGGCCUUGUACACACCGCCCGUCACGUCAUGAAAGUCGGUAACACCCGAAGCCAGUGGCCUAACCCUUGGGAGGGAGCUGUCGAAGGUGGGAUCGGCGAUUGGGACCAAGUCGUAACAAGGUAGCCGUACCGGAAGGUGCG
rnacentral:rRNA from 1 species